GGUCUUGAAGACACUGCAGUUGGAGCGCAAGCUGUUCUGCUUCGAUCCGUAGGAGAAUCCCAGGGUCGACCAUCGUCGUCCCCGUCGACGGCAUAGUCCGGUUCCUCGAGUUGUUCGAGGUGCUCAAGCUUGAUUCCAAGACCUCAGAGGCCUCUGUCAACAGAAAUCAGAGCUCAAUUAUUGUUCCUUCAGGAAGUUCUGACGAAGAAGGAUCGACAGCAUUUCAGAAUGUUUUACAAGAGAUACAUGAAGAGACCUCAUGACUGUUCAGGAUACUAGAUUAGGUAAAAGUUUGAUAAGUGUUGCACCACCAACAGCAACAUAUAGAACCUCCAGAAUGUCGGACAGGGCCUUCAGAUGAUGUUAGAGCUGGAUUCAUAUCAGGCAACAGUGCCCAAUUAGCCUCUGGCACAGUUGAAUGGUCACGGACUUGUUGACAUGCUCACACAUGAUGAUGUUGGAGGCAUGGGGAUGUCUAAGACGAUCAAUCAGGAUAGAUCAGAAGAGGUUUCUCUUUGAUCUGGGGAGCAACAACAGGGGUCAUUUCCUGAGGAUUUCUGAGGCAGAUGGAGAACUCAAACCCUUGCUAGUUCCAUAGUUUGACCUCUAAAUCCGUUCCAUGAUUCCGCUUUCGCAUGCCUAUUGCUGGAGCUGAUCGCUCAUCAAUUAUCCCUCCCUUGUCUGGUCCGAGGCAGUUCGAUGAAAUGAUUGGCCAUUUCGUGGAGAUUACCAGGGAUAGACCGGAAGGAAUUGAUAAGCAGAUAAGAUUUUCUCAAGGCAGUUGAGGAAAUCUCUCAGCAGUUGAGAAGCAGAUAAGAUUUCCUCAAGGCAGUUGAGGAAAUCUCUUGAGAAAAAUCCUCCAUGCUGAAUAUGUAUAACCUCCCUACUGAGUGUGUAUAAAUGACUGUCAAGAACUCACUAUCAAAAUGUAUUAGGCAAUUAUAUCUUAUACAUUUCAUAGUUUCUUCUACAA